rnacentral:snRNA from 1 species
GGAUGUGAGGGUGAUCUGGCUGCGAUAUCUGUUACCCCAUUGAUCACCAGGGUUGAUUCAGCUGAUCUGGCUGGCUAGGCGGGUGUCCCCUUCCUCCCUCACUGCUCCCGAAGCUAUGCGCUAGGUGGAAGAGGAUGGCCUUCCCUGAAUAGAGACAGACCGGUCUUCAGUGGAGAGUAUAGAGUAGCUGCGCUUCCCUGCUAGAACCUCCAAACUCUCAAGAGUGAAAAACAGGGAGUUGGGUGGUAGUGCAGCAGGUCUGCAGGUGUCUUUCUCU